rnacentral:siRNA from 1 species
CUCUACAUUUUGGGUGGU